GGAAAACAGGAAUGAAAAGAUUUCUUGGUGUUCUUUUCAAAGAACAGACCUUGGUUCUGUUACCCACAGAAUUUUUUCCUGGUUUGUCAUGUACUUGAACUAAGCAAAUACUGAUUAAAAGGCUUGUUUGGUGUUCAUAGGCUUGUACUGUCUUCACCUCUGCAUAGCUCUGUUUCUUGGGUUUGUUCCGGAAUCUGUCAAUAAAAACAAAGGCGGUGAUGGAAGGGGGUUGGGGGAAGGCUGUAUUGCUGCCUGAGGACAAAAGAAAUCGACCUUCCAGAAUAGAGAAGAAGCUCUUAAAGCUUCUUUAUAUGUUCUAAAGAAGCAAAAGAGGAAAGCAACAUUUCUUCUUUACAGGUUGCCUUUAAGAUCCCUGACUCUAGGGUGUACACUAUAUACUGGGCAGUUCUUGAAUGUUGGUGUUCUCUGUCUACUCUGAGGGAUGGAGAUUCUUUCUGCACACCAGCUGCAGUGAGGUUUUUGGGGGGACCGAGGACAUUAUGAUAACAGGGAAUAAAUCUCAGCUCCUGGGGGAUGGAAGUUGGUGAGAACUGUGAUGUUCAGCCCUGAGGCAAGGAUUGUUGGAUGUGAUGCAUGUAAGCCACCUUAACUUUCCUGGCUGGGUCAAUCAACCAGCUUGUGGCAUAAGAAACUCAAUUUGGUUGUGUUUUUCUUUAUUUUUUUUUUUUUAUUUUUUUAACUGGAAUAGAAAUGCUGGUGUCAACAGCCUGCCCAAACCUGGGCAUGGGAAAGGCCUACAAUUAGGUUGCAGCUCCAAUGGCUACUAACCCCCUCUCAUUCUGUAGCACAGAUGAAUAGCACAUGGUUCCAAUGAGAAAGCAGGUUGGUUUAGCCAGUGAAAGCCAAAUUUAAGAAAUCAAACAGUACAUAAAAAAACAAAGGAGGCAGAGUUUGUUGGAAAUGAUAUCUUGGAAAUCAGUGCAUCAGCACUGGUUAGAUUGCCUCAGCACCUAUGAACCAACGCAGGGAGAUCACUGCACAGAUAUGUACAAUCCUGCUCUCAAAAGAGCCAAUUUCUUCUUAGAAUUUCUAUCUU